rnacentral:rRNA from 1 species
CCUACGGGUGGCAGCAGUGGGGGAUAUUGCACAAUGGGGGAAACCCUGAUGCAGCGACGCCGCGUGGGUGAAGAAGUAUUUCGGUAUGUAAAGCCCUAUCAGCAGGGAAGAAAGAAGACGGUACCUGACUAAGAAGCCCCGGCUAACUACGUGCCAGCAGCCGCGGUAAUACGUAAGGUGCGAGCGUUAUCCGGAUUCACUGGGUGUAAAGGGAGCGUAGACGGCCGUGCAAGCCAGGAGUGAAAGCCCGGGGCCCAACCCCGGGACUGCUCGUGGAACUGUGCGGCUGGAGUGCGGGAGGGGCAGGCGGAAUUCCUGGUGUAGCGGUGAAAUGCGUAGAUAUCAGGAGGAACACCGGCGGCGAAGGCGGCCUGCUGGACCGCGACUGACGUUGAGGCUCGAAAGCGUGGGGAGCGAACAGGAUUAGAUACCCUUGUAGUC